rnacentral:rRNA from 1 species
UACGUAGGGUGCAAGCGUUGUCCGGAAUUAUUGGGCGUAAAGAGCUCGUAGGUGGUUUGUCGCGUUGUUCGUGAAAACUCACGGCUUAACUGUGAGCGUGCGGGCGAUACGGGCAGACUGGAGUACUGCAGGGGAGACUGGAAUUCCUGGUGUAGCGGUGAAAUGCGCAGAUAUCAGGAGGAACACCGGUGGCGAAGGCGGUUCUCUGGGCAUGACCUGACGCUGAGGAGCGAAAGUGUGGGGAGCGAACAGG